CCCGUUUCCCAAAAUCAAUUUAAUUAUAAUUAUAAAAUCAGAGUUCCACGUUAAACGGCAUGUCACACUACAAAAUAUAAAUUCUUAAAUAGAUUAAAACUAUUUAACAACAUCCUUCAUUAAACUGCAGCGGAAUAUUCUUUAAAUUAAACUCCAUUAUCCAAAAUAAUCUUGGCAUUAAGCCUCAACAUGAAAAUUCAACAUAAAACAUGGACUACAUUAAUUUGUUCCAAAAUUUGAUACAUAGGUAGAAACUUAAACUAUAAAUCCCAACCCACGCAUCAGAGUCCUAGACACAUUGAGCCACCACCAACUACUCAGGAUCACCUGCAAGUUACCCAUAGGAAGGGCAACAUUUUCAAGCAGAAGGGGUGAGAUUCACAACAAAAUAUAGAUAAAGAAUAUAUCAAUUGAAUCUAACACCCUAUCAUAAAUCAUCAACAUUAUUAUUUACAUAACAUCAUUUUCGCAUCUUAUCACAAUAUUAAAUCAUACACCUCUCAACAAUAUAUGCAACUUAUCACCACUCCACUAAGACUCCUCUAAACUCCCAUGCAUGUGGUACCAAAAAUCAGGGCCGUGACCCACACCGCUGUCGAAUGGUUAAAGCAUUCUCAACAGGACAUAAGUCCUCACCACUACACCACUUUGAGUAACUAGUACUCCACCACUUUGAACGACUAAGCAUUCCAGAGCCGAAGCUCUCCCACUGUUAUGUUUAUGCAACUAAUCCCCAUAGAGUAUAUCUACAUACCAACCAACCUAUACAUAUACAUAUAUAUGAUUCACCAAUCAACCUUCAUCUUUAAGGAAAUUUUAAUUAUAUACAACACACAUCAGUCAACAUCCAUUCAUCAAACCAACUAAAGCAUCCAGGGAAAUAUAUAUCAGCAUACAAGCCAUGCAAUAAUUCAACAAAAUACACCAUCCAAACAACAACAGAAAUUAACCAACCAAAUACUGGGCAGCUCGCCUCGCGAGCUCAUCUACUCGCUAUGGCGAGCUCAGGAAACAGGUACUCGCCAUGGCGAGUUGGAGGCGAACUCGAGGCGAACAGAAAUAUGGUGCUCUCGGGAAAAAUGACAUUUUUCUCACUCAAACCUCAAUUCUAAGCUCCCUAAUCAUCUUUUGAACUUAAAACUUGCUUUAGUCCUCUUAAGAAUCAUCUAGGUACACGAAACUACCCAAAAUACGGCUUAUAACAACUUUUUCAAAAUCCAGAUUUUUACAAGGUUACUCGCCAUGGCGAGCUGUAUCACUCGCGAGGCGAGCGAUGAAGUUGUUCACUCGCUAUGGCGAGCAAUGGCUACUCGUGAGGCGAGCGAUGAACUUCAGUACGGGCAGAAUGCAGGUUUUCCCCAAAAAUCCCAUUUUUCCUCAAUUCACUCCCCAAAUUAGCUUACAGAUAUGCAAUGAAAGGUUUUAUGCACCCAGAACCCAUUUCUACCCUCAAUUCUAUGAUCUCUACACUCAAAACUCCUUAAUCAACAAAAACCCAAUUUCUCCCAAAUCCUCACAUAAACCUGUUAGAACACAAUCAACAUUCAGAAUCUAUAUAAUUGCGGUAAACCUCACCCUUACCUUAGAAUUGCAGAAAAAAUACAGCAGCAAAUGAUUCCUAAGCUUCUCUCCCUUGCACUAGCUUUUCUCCCAAAACCAGACUGUUUUCACGUAAAACUGUUUUCUCUAUUUUUCUUUCCUUUUCUCAACUCCCAAAAUGUAACCUCCCACUCCCUAAUUAGCAAUUAACUCCCUACUAAUUAUGUUAAUUAUUUCAUAACCCCCAAAAUAAUAAUUAAUCCUAUUCUUAUAUUAUUUUAAUUAUUUAAUAAAAUAAUCAUAUAAAAAUAAAUAUACACUACAUAAAUCACCAAAAAUCACAUAAAUGACACCACACAAUUAAAAAUAAUUAAAUAAAAAUUAGAGUGUUACAAUAAAAGUCCUGCGUGAUCUUAAUACCAAGUGUUUCACCCCGAAUAUAAGGUACGGGUAAAUUGUCAUUCGAUACCGCCUUAUUCGUGCAUGUCAGUGCCUGUGCAAAUGAGACCGGCGAAGGAACCACCGGUACGUAAGGUGUGGAAACCCUCCCGGCAGUGGGAAUUGGGGCUGGAACCCUCAGCUCAGCCUGCCAGUCGAACAUGGCAGCUGAGAUCACCCCUCACAAAAUAGGUCAGAGAAUUGACAGUUAAAGGUGGCCAGAGCAGUCGCCAAUUAAGCAAUUAUCACAAUUAUAACAAACCUUUCAAGCAAGAUAACCUUUGAAAUAUCUCAAAUACUUGUCAUCAUGCAAUGAUAGAAUCCGCAAAGAUUCUGAAAUAUUCUAUGUGAAAAUAAUUUUUAUAAUAAUAACACUUAUAAAAAAUAUUAUUUUAGAGAGUUAUGAUUGUGAAAAUUCUUAGACUCAAUUUUGUAUAUUCUUGCAUCGAAUAUUCUAUAGGAUUAGCAUAUAUAUUCUUGAUUUGUGGGUUUAAAACUUUUGUCAAAUCUUGAAAAGAUCAUAUAUUAAACACACAUCAGAGUAAUUAAAUUCAAAUUGGGCAUGUCACAGUACAUUUUCAAAACUCUUAAAUAGAAAUGUAAAACUAUUCAAUAAACCUUCAUCAAUAAUGUCAUUAAUCUGCAGCGGAAUAUUUAUAUUUAAGCAACAACGUUAACCGUUUAAACUUCCAAAAACAUCUUGGCAUAAAAAGCCUCAACCAAAAUAAUUCAUCAACCAUAGGGCUACAACAACAUUAACCAAAAUUUGAUACAUAGAAUGAAAGAAAACAAUAAAAUCCCAUCCCACGUAUCAGAGCCCUAGACACUUUGAGCCACCACCUACUACUCAGGAUCACCUGCAAGUUACCCAUAGGAAGGGCAACGUUUCCAAGCAGAAGGGGUGAGAUUCUCAAUCAAUA
rnacentral:lncRNA from 1 species